AAGCGGUGGACGCUCUGCGGAGGCGCAGGGGCGCUGUCUGCAGGGCGGGCGGCCCCGGGACCCCUUCUUCCCAUGGGGGGCCGCCUGCUGGAGCGGGCAGCCCCCGCGAGGCACGAGGACAAAGGCUCCUCCCGCCCCGUUCCAAGGAGGGAGCUCGUUAGGGUCCGUGGUAGCUGGUGGAGCAACUUUCCUGAGACUUCUGCAGACCUGCCCGCUGAGCUGCUGGAACCAGGGGACAGCUGGGACCCGGCCGCCUUCUUCCAUGAGACUCCGGGAGAGAGGCUAAUGCAAAUUACCCAACUCUGGUUAUGCAAAAAACAAGCCUGUUGAAGCUAUACUCUGAGAGAGGGUCUUUGUCUGCUGAUUACCUGUUCCUGAAGGCCAAGAUCAAAGACUCAAGCAGUAUAAAGAAACACAUGCUCUAUCCAGCCUAAAUUCUGAAUAUGAGACAGCUAUGAACCUGUGAGCAUGGGGAAAAGCCAGUUGUGGCUUUUGAAGGACUGAUAGCUACAAGAGCCCGAGGUUGGAGCUGGGGUGACCUCUGUAACUCCUAAGAACACCAAUCAAGGAGUGGUGCCCCAUGAUGCCAAGCACUGUACAGACAAGUCAUAAAGAGAUGAUGUUCCAGGGAGCGCACACUCUGCAUGCCAGACAGGACUUACCAGAUGGGUGAAAUAAACAAACUCGGUGAGGCUAGGCUAGGGUGGAUGACACAAAGAUAAAAUGAACAUAAAGUUUACCAGAAAAGCAGAAGUAACAGUUUACCAGUUACUUAACCAACGCUAGUCAGAAGCAUAUUAGUAGGCAUAACAGCAGAGGAAGAUUUUAAAGAAGUAUUUAGAGGACAGUGGCUUUAUGAACUAUGACAUGGACUUUUUCUCCAUGCAAAUAGGUGGCAGGGGAGAGCGUGACUGAGAGAAAAGCAAGUAGGGGGGUGAGUAAGGCUGCCGUGAAUGGCAGAACAAGGACUGGAAUGGAUGACUCCACAAACUAGUCGAUCUGCAUUAUUCCCUGGAGCCUACUGAAAGAACAGUUUAAAACAGAGAUUUUAAAAAGUAAAAUCUUCCAAUCAUUUAUUUCAGAAAAUGUCUGUUACUUAAAAACUAUACCAGGUUUUGUCAACUUAGUAAACAUAGAUAUACUGUGCUGCUCUCUACUUACCCAAACAGAGAACUGCUUGGCUAUUGGCCUGCGUUAGGUGAGUGCACUUCCGAAAUGAUCUGGGACGCAAGAGGAAUUGGGCUUCCAGAGUUAUAGCCUUGUCCCAGGUUUUGCAGUGGACUUGAGCAUACAGGCUGCACUUAUCCACUAGGCUAGUACAGCUUGCAUUGCUCUGCAACUGCACAGCUCUACAGGGUUGUGUGAAAGAACAUGGCCUUCUCCCCUCCAUACCUGCCUUAGGUAAACUGAGCACCUAAUGGCACUGGAGGGAUAGAGCUCUCUCUGCUGUCAUAGAAAUGUAAUGACUGAAACUGUCUCUGUGCUUUUUAUUGGCAGCACAAAAGAUGUGUCAGAGGGUCUUUGCAUUCCACCUUUGCUUUCACACGCACACACACAGCUAAGCUUUCCUGCCAGGGCCUCAUCUGUUCCCUCUUUCUGAAUGGCCACUUCAUCUCUUGUAUCCCAAAAGGGAUACAACAAACUAUGCCUGCCACAAUGAAUCAACUGAACUUCAAGAGCUCUGUGCAGGGCUCUAGCAGUUACUAACACAUGAAUUGGAAGAAACCUGCCAUUUUAUUGCACUACUCAUCUGGCUUCCUCAAAAAGUCUACUCUCUGUCUUUUCUCUACAUUGCUUUCAUUCUCUAGGUGCUUCCUUGCCAAUUAUUUAUAUUCUCUUCUCCCUUGGGAUUCAGGUGCUAGCUGUGAUAUCAAUAUUCUCCUUAAAAACUCCUGCAAUCCAAGUUUGUCUAACUGCCAGGUAACUUGCAGCCAGAGUAUAAGAUGGCUGACUCCCUUUGCUAUUCUGGCUCUCAGGGCAAGGGCAUCUGGAUUUAUAGAAUAAUGAUUUACACACUAGCCCCUGCUGCUUUCCUUUCCUUCUCCUAUCACAUCUUUCAAAACCCAAAAUUAUCGUAGAAAAUACAUUUUGUAUUUUUAAAAUUGAUUUCCCACUUAAAAAGCUGUUUAAAUAAUAUAUUAGAAUUUGAUAGAUGUUAACAUUUUUUAAAUCUUCACCUAAUCAAUAUAUUUAUGCACAUUAAAAUUUAAUUGCACUCCUUAUAUUAAUUUAUAAUCAUUUCAGUCAUUAUGAUCAUCAGCCAAGACCCUGCAACUGCUAUGAAAUGUCACUUAAUUUAUAUUUCAUAAUGUCCAAGUUACCUACUUCCAAGCAAGUAAAGAUGCCCCUGUCAAAUGCAAUACACUUUUUGAUGUCAUCAGCAUCAUUUGUUUAAAUCAUGAUGGACAGAUGAGACGGAUUUAAGUUUCUCAUCUGGAUCCUUCUUUCCAAAAGUGGACAAUUAUUGCAAUGCAAUUAGAGAUAAAAUCUCCAUGAUGGUAUUAACAAUGAGAAGUCCUGUGGCACCUUAUAGACUAGCAGAUUUAUUGGAGCAUAAGCUUUCAUGGGCAAAGACCCACUUCAUCAGAUGACAUGCAUGAGGGAGCAUACUACAAAUGCUAAGCCCAUAGUGGCUGGACCUAAAGCUAUAUAUUUUUGAAGCUGUUUACUUAGUUAAGGAUGGCAUAAAUUGGACCUAUCUUAAUGAUUGCCUUACUUUACAAAUAGUCUCACUAAAAUCAGGGAGACUACCUAAGGAGUAAGGUACAAUUCAUCUUGAGUAAGGUAGCAGAACCUGGCCCAUUAGUUUUAGGAAGAAAGAGAUAAAUACGUUUAUAUCAUCUUUCUUAUUUAUAAUUGUAAAUAGUUUGCCAAGUACUGGAUGACACAGUGCUGUAUCACAAGCAUUAUACUGCUAAUAAGAAUGGACAUUUUCCUUUAGCUCACGUGGCAAGACAGAACUUAUGCUAUUGGAGCAAAAGGGCUUUCUCUACUGCACCCAUGAAGUUCUGAGUGGCUGUGAAGUGCAGCACUGUGAUAGUCUCAGACUCUUGAGUGGUAUUAUAACAGAUUUGUUAUAAUACCUUGGUAGAACAAUGAGCUGCUUAGAUAUUUUCAUCUUUAUAUUUACUUAGCAGUUACACAGAAGAAACAUUAAUCAAUCCUGUGUACUUCAUGGAAUUAAUCUGAAGCCAAUUAUAGGUUAGGACAAUGUUUCUUAUUCAAGAGCAUAUUUAACUGAUUUUGUGUCCAUCCUCUUCCUCCUUCAUCUUGUCAUAAACUCUAUAGCAGUGGUUCCCAAACUUUUUGGCAUCACGGCCCC